GACCCCACUCCUCCUCACGUUCCUCUCUUUCGCACGAACCAGAGCCGCCACUGCCUAGGGUUCGCCCCGCCACCGCAUCCUUCCGCGCCGCCUCCUGAUGCCGCCCUCGAUGGCGCUGACACCAAUCCCAUGCCGCUCGAUCGCGCACUGGUACUCUAGGGGGAGAUAUGGGUAGUAGAGAUUGGAGAGAUGGAUGGGGAUGCGAGGAGCUCGGCCACGGGGACUGGGAGUAGGUCAGCCACAUGGUCUGGGAGGAGCUAAGUCGCAAGACAUGAGGAGCUCGGUCAUGGAAAGGAGGGGAGCAGAAACCCGCCUCAUCGCCACCGUCUGCGACCACCAUGCACACCUCUUUCGAGGCCACUGCAGUCAAGCUCUGAUCUCUCUCUCUACCCAACUACGUCCCCAGCUUCACUCUGCCAGUGAAAAUGCAUAUCAUAUCUAUAUACCACUGAGGUGUAGUUGGUGCCUAGCAAGGCGGUGAUAUCCAAACUGAAUAAAGUGCUGACCAUGAAGAACUUGGAGAGGGAGCAACGCACAUCCUGAGUUGGAAAAAAUAAAGCCAUCAGCGUCGAUGACGUGGAGCGGGUGCGCACGAGGAUCUCGAUGUCACCGGCGUUUCCUUGGUUCCAUGGCGAGCGGUGGCCAGGUGUAGAUUGGGAAUCCUCCUCUGCAGGAUCUUCCCGAGCCCCUCAACCUGGACAUUUUCAAAGUAAUAAUCGGUAGAUCGGAACCCGCCGCAUUCGUUUCCUUGUCCCAUGCUGAUUUGAAUGCUAGGAACUCUCGCAGCUGUGCCAGGCUUCUGCAGCAGCAGCACCGAAGCAUGAGCAUACCAACCUCGCUAAUCAAUCCAGCAGCCUGCAUGUGCAUGAUAUUCUCUGCCCAGUUCCAAUCCUACUCCCUCACUUGCAACUUCUUUAUUUCUUGGCAUUGAUGCGUGAAGUGAGGCUUGGUCUGAAUGUGCGAGGAGGUCAGAUGGUCCAUGCAUUACCACCAUUUGUUUGAUGAUCCCCACUAAAUGCAAACGUAGUAGCAUUCCUCUUUUUAAGUAGUAGAUAUAAUACUAUGGUUAUUAUGUAACCCACCGAACAUUUCUCUUCUAAUAUGGUGAAACUGAAAUCAUUUCUUGGUAGCACUGUAAUCUCUGUGUGAGCCAAAGUUCUACUACAUUUGUCCAUAAAAGGAUAUGGUAAAUUUGUCUAAAUUUAGAUGUAUCUAGACACACUUUUUUGGUGUAUACAUACAUCCGAAUUUAGAUAAAUCUUUAACAUCCUUUCAUCAACGUAGGGAGUGUGAAAGAUUCAGUUAUUUGUUCUGGGUAUUGCACUCGGACAUGAGUAUGUAUGUCAGAAAGUCAGAGUGGAAGUAAUUGAUGUACUUCUGUUAUGGAUUUUGUUUAUUCUUCAUUGACUUCCUGAAGCUGAUUUGAUUUGUUUAUUUUUAGGCUGCGUACAAUGACCCAAUGUGGUCCGACCCUC